rnacentral:misc_RNA from 1 species
CGCACAUUGCGCCCAUUAGUAUUCUAGUGGGCAUGCCUGUUCGAGCGUCAUUUCAACCCUUAAGCCCUGUUGCUUAGCGUUGGGAGCCCGCUGGCCCUGGGCCUGCGGCUCCCCAAAGUUAGUGGCGGAGUUAGCGUAUACUCUAGGCGUAGUAAAUUAUCACCUCGCCUCUGUGGCUGCGCUGGCGCCUGCCGUAAAACCCCUUUAUCUUACAAUGGUUGACCUCGGAUCAGGUAGGAAUACCCGCUGAACUUAA